GACGAACGCUGGCGGCGUGCCUAAUACAUGCAAGUCGAGCGAGCGGAACCAGCAGAUCUGCUUCGGCAGUGACGCUGGGAAAGCGAGCGGCGGAUGGGUGAGUAACACGUGGGGAACCUGCCCCAGAGUCUGGGAUACCACUUGGAAACAGGUGCUAAUACCGGAUAAGAAAGCAGAUCGCAUGAUCAGCUUUUAAAAGGCGGCGUAAGCUGUCGCUCAGGGAUGGCCCCGCGGUGCAUUAGCUAGUUGGCAAGGUAACGGCCUACCAAGGCAAUGAUGCAUAGCCGAGUUGAGAGACUGAUCGGCCACAUUGGGACUGAGACACGGCCCAAACUCCUACGGGAGGCAGCAGUAGGGAAUCUUCCACAAUGGACGCAAGUCUGAUGGAGCAACGCCGCGUGAGUGAAGAAGGUUUUCGGAUCGUAAAGCUCUGUUGUUGGUGAAGAAGGAUAGAGGUAGUAACUGGCCUUUAUUUGACGGUAAUCAACCAGAAAGUCACGGCUAACUACGUGCCAGCAGCCGCGGUAAUACGUAGGUGGCAAGCGUUGUCCGGAUUUAUUGGGCGUAAAGCGAGCGCAGGCGGAAAAAUAAGUCUAAUGUGAAAGCCCUCGGCUUAACCGAGGAAUUGCAUCGGAAACUGUUUUUCUUGAGUGCAGAAGAGGAGAGUGGAACUCCAUGUGUAGCGGUGGAAUGCGUAGAUAUAUGGAAGAACACCAGUGGCGAAGGCGGCUCUCUGGUCUGCAACUGACGCUGAGGCUCGAAAGCAUGGGUAGCGAACAGG
rnacentral:rRNA from 1 species